rnacentral:rRNA from 1 species
UACGUAGGGGCUAGCGUUGUCCGGAAUCAUUGGGCGUAAAGCGCGUGUAGGCGGCUCGGUAAGUCCGCUCUGAAAGCCCGGGGCUCAACCCCGGGAGGCGGGUGGAUACUGCCGGGCUAGAGUCCGGAAGAGGCGAGUGGAAUUCCUGGUGUAGCGGUGGAAAUGCGCAGAUAUCAGGAGGAACACCAAUUGCGAAGGCAGCUCGCUGGGACGGUACUGACGCUGAGACGCGAAAGCGUGGGGAGCGAACAGG